CCUGAUGUCUAAACCCUACAGCGGAACAUUCGCCCCAUCAAAGUGUUGCCUCAUUUCUAAAUGUAUUUAUACGAAACUCUAAUAAAGCAUUAAACCACAUUGAAUCCAACGCUGGCAAAUCACUUCGUUUUCAAAAUGAGAAUAACGUUGCCCGAAUUGGGAUGCCCUGGACAGUCUGGGGUGGGUGUCCUUGCGGCUGGACCUGCAAGGGCGGCCGGUGUGUCUGGAGACACGGAGGGUGGAGGCGCCGUGGCCUCUUGAGCAAACUCGUCCUAGGCAGGGGCCGGCCGCCCUUCAAAGGCCCGGGAAACGUCGGAGACCUGAAGGGAAAACUGUGGGGUCUGCAAAAUACAAAAAAGACAGCGUCAAAAUUGCUAAAUGUUUAACUAAACACCAACAGAAAGUCAUGUCAACUUUAAUAUUUGUUAAGUUUGGUAUCCUACAAAUGUCAUUAUAUUGAAAACAAUAUGUAAGUUGGAUUUUUGGCAAGAGUUCCAGAAUAUGCAGGAUGAUCGAAGAGAAAUCCUAGCCAAUAGUAAAUUAAAUGAGUUACUCAUAGUCAAGUAAUUUCAAAAGCAAAUUUAUAAAAAUCCUUUUACAUUUAAAGCAAAGAAGCGUUUUAUUUAAUGAGGGAUGUGGGUGCAUUUGAAUGUUUGUCAUGAUAAGGGGGGGCCUCCAAGAAUCGGAUGCCAGGUCUGGAAAGGGCUGUAGACGGCCCUGGCCUGCAGUCCCGCUCUGGACUUGGGGGGGCCAUCAGCUCAGUCUGGCUCCUUUUACCCUCCUGCCUCUCUAACUAGCUUCAGAGCACCUGCUCCUGCCACAGGCGUCUUCUCCAGAUCUCUGCAAAGACCACGUGUGGCUGGGGUUUCUCUCUCCAUUUUGCAGAUGAGAAUCUGACCUGGAUUUGAAACCUGAGUUCCGUUUAUUAGCUGUGCAAGUGCCCCCUCCUCCCUGACUUCCCAGGUGUGGGGGGGACACGUAAAGCAGAGAGAAUACCAACCCGUUCGCAGCCUUGUGUGUCCACCAUGCGCUUCCAUGGUGGAGUAAAUACCUCCUGGGUGCCUGGCACUGGGCUGAGCACUUUACAAGUGUGAAGUGCCUAAGGACUCUGCAGAGAGCUGUCAUCGUGCUCCCCUUCUUAGAGAGAGAAAGUUGAGGCACAGGAGGUUAAGUACCUUCUCCAAGGUGACCCAGGCAGCAAAUGGCAGAACUGGGAUUUGAACCCAGAACUGCCUGGCUGCAGAGUCCUUGUUCCUCCAACUCUACAGUGAUCCCCAGGGUGGGCCUGUGAUUGCUGUGUGUCUGGUGGGGUUGUCUCUGUAGGAUUGUGUGCUCAGGGAAGGGACAGUGUCUGGCUCUGGAAAGCAGAGUCUGGCUGGAGACGAGGCUAGAGGUAGGAAGGCUGUGAGGAGGCCCUUGCAGUAUCCUAGAUGUGAGUGAUGAGCACCUGGGUGGUGGGAGUGGGGAUGGAGAGAAGCUUUUGAGGGGAGGCAGUUAAGACCAGUGGUUAAGACAGGGUUAGGAGCACCAUUGUGCCUGGAAUAGCCUGAUGAAAGAUUGAGAAUGUGAAUGCCCUGAGGUGGGUGUGCACCCCAGUUGGCCACAAGCCCCACCUCGCCCUAUUGCCAUACACUGGGUUCAAUCCAUACAUUGUGAGGGAGGUAUCUGAGUUUGUGACGCCUGGGUUAAAAUCUCUGUCUCACAGUACAGCUCUUUCACUUCUUACUGCAAGAUAUUGGGCAAAAUACAUGAACUCUGAGCUUCAGUACUCUUAUUUGUAAAAUGGGGACACCAGGGUCCCCUGCACUGGUUUGUUGUGGACAUUAAAUACUGUAUAGAAAGCUCUUAGCAGAGUGAUCAGCACACAGCAAACCCUGAGUGCAUACACGAAACUUAUGAAACUUCAAUAGAAGCUAUGCUCGAUGUUGGAUGAAGAAAAUCAUACAUCAUACCUGAGUUCAAGCCCAGAGGACUUGGAAAAUUAUGGACUUACUAGUAGAAACUCCACUGGGGGCCAGAGAAGGGUAGGACAAUUCUUUUCUGGAGAAAAUGAUAUCACCUUUGUUUUGUGCUUCGUAAUUUUCCACAUUUAAUUUUUACAACAGCCUCAACGAGCUGGACAGGAGUGUGAUUAUUCCUGUGUGCAGCCUAAAAUUCCUUUGAAAUAAGGUGGGAUCUAAACAAAAAUGUAGGUAUGUAUGUUUUACAUAAAUACUGGAUAAUGGUUUACAAAGUCAGAGAAGCCCCAUCACAGGGCUGAGAGGCGGUGACUUGGGCAAGGACCUGGCAUUGGACUCCUGGCCCAGUGCUCUCCUUACCUUUGAUCUCCCUUUGGGACCUGCUGGAGAGUUUGGACAGGGCCUGGCCAGAGGCUGGAAUGGGGGUGACUGGGUGGGCGGCUUCCAGCUGAGGGAAGCUGGGGUGGGGCUGGAGGAGGAGGAGCAGCCGUGAGGUCUGGCUCUUGCUGAGGCCACCAAGACUUCUGAGGGCAAGUACCCGUGUGUCUCUACUUCCACCGAGCCUCCUCUUUCUCUGUUCCCCACCUUGUGCCCCUGCCUUGAGUGUGAGCAUCUUCUGGGAGAGCUCCCUCCGCUCUGGGUCCUAGACCCCUCCCUGGGUGGCUGUGGCGUCUCGCCCUGGUGCGAACCUCUCUCUGCCCACCUACUGCCCUGUCUCAGCCCCUCUCCACCAGCUGCUUCUCGUUUGCUCCCAGCCCCCAUCAGCGAACUUCCUACUUGUCUCAUUCCUUUCUCUGAAUAACAACAAAGAAAUUCUCACAACAGGGAGAAAUACCCGCUGUGGUUGUCCCUGUUUCACAGAUGGUAUCCUGAUGCACAAGAUUAAGGAACUUGCUCUGGGUUAUACAGCCGGCGUUGGGUGGAGCCAGGGUUCAAACUCAAGUCCCUUUGACUCUAAAGUCCAAGCUGAAGCACAGGUGUACAUCCCUGGAGGACCCCAGACUCCAGAAUCUUGAAAGACCACGCUGUCUCAGAGCACCUGAAUUCCAAUCGUCGGUGACACAGUGGCCUCCAAACAAGACACCGCUGAGAUGACAGGCCUUCGGGUCUUGUCACAGGGAAGCAAGACAACCUGGGACAACACCAACAGCAGUUUUGCCUGUGCCAUCAGCCACUUCCUUGCGUAGCCUCGUCUUGACUCGCAGGCUGCAUUUUCUUUUUCCGUUCGGAGAGCAGUGCCACCUUGUGUACAGCAUCACCCACCCCAUGAGGGGUAAGCCGGAGGAGGCACCUUCCUACCAUCCUCUUCCUCAUCAAACUCCUCCUGCCCGUCCACCCCUGGGCUGCUGCCGCUUCUCCCAGACUGUCCCCACUGGCUCCCCUUCCAAGAGAUCAAGAUGGAGAUGGAGAUGCGGUUCAAGAGGCCACUGGGGGCGGAGGCCCUGCAGGCCAGAUCCUCAGUCUCUCACAGUGUCCAGAGAUGGUCAGCCCAUAGGAACUGACUCCCUCCAACCCAGCUCACAGGAGAUGUGCCGCAGACCAGGGGAGCUACUUUCCAGCUUACAAAAGGAAUCAGAAUACCAAGCACGAGAUUUUUUCAAAAGUCAACCAGCAGUGGCUUGGUGAACAGGCUGGGUACCCACAGAGCUGCCUGCGGGCCUCGGUGCUGCCAUGGGAGUGCACAUAUUCAUGCCAAGGUAUCCCCAGGGCAGGCUGCCUUGGGUGCUGGAGCGCCCCCUGUGAAGAAUCCAGAUCCUAACUACGUUUCCUGGCUGGGCUGCUCUUCAUCUGGAACUCCUUCGUGUCAAGAUGAUUUCUGCAGGAGUUCAUUUCCUCUCCUGAGUGUAACGCUUAGAGCUGUGAGGAAGGCCUAAUGGUGCUCCCCAUGUACCGCUGCACCCCAGUUCUGGUGGAGGAGAUAAGGCUCCUUGUGAAGGGCCCUGGCCGAGGCCCACAUGGGCUGUGGUGGUCAGCGUGGGGAGGAAGCUCUGGGGCCUCAGGCACUUGGGCAAGGCCCUGAGGGGGAGGCGGGCUUUGAACAGGCUUUGCAAGGAUGGAGAGAACCUGCGUGGAGGGGGAGGGAGGAAGCCGUCCUGGGGCUGGGUUAGGGGCAGCUCUCCUCGUCUUUUGGUGUGGGAUCAGCAUCCCAGAGGCCGCAGGAGAAGGGGACAGCACUGCCCUUCACCUGCAGGCCAGUGCCUCCCUGGGAUUGGACCUGGAGGGGUCUCCUUGCCUCUCUCAGAGGCAGGGGCUGAGUCAGGUGGCAUGAGAGGCUUGUCCCAUGAUGCUUAGUCCAGUAUUUUGCUCCCUGUGGAUGCUCAGGAAAUAGCACUGGCAGGGAUUCUGGGACUCUGAAUUUAGCCAUCAAGGAUAAUGAUAACAAUGGCUAAAAUUUCCUGAGUGCUUACCAUAUGUCAGGCACUGUUUUAGGAACUUUACAUGUACCAUCUUAGUCCCUAAAUCAGCCCUAGGAAGUAGGUGCUACUAUUAUUGCCACUUAAAGAGGAGGAAAUGUAAGCACAGAAAGGAUAACUAAACUUCUUCGAGUCACACAGCUAGUAAGUGGUGGGCCCAGGAUGCUAACCCAGGAGGUCUGGCUCCAGAGGCAAUGCUCUACCUGCUGUGCCCCACUGCCUUCUUCCUUGGGGUUCUGUGAAUGAGGUGGUCCAGGGGCCUGUUAUGGCUAGGCAGGAUGGGGUCUGGUCCCUCAGAUUGUAAGGGAAGGCUGGCCUCUGUCCUGGGCCUCACUAGAGAUCCUCUCAGUGGAUACCCACGUAGAAGAUCUGGAUUGUGGUUGCAGCCCUGGCACCUGGUUAACAACCCCUGCUCUCUGGGAUGGCAGCCGGGUCCCUGGGGCUGUCCUGUCUUUGUGACCCAGUCAAAGUUAGAGUCAACUCUUUGUCCCCAUUUUCUGUUUCACACCUGCCAAGCAAAAACCCCAUCCCCUGGACACUCUGUCAAUGUCCCACCUACAGACCUCUUCUGGUCCCUGGGGUCUGUUCCUUGAUUUCCUUACUGCCUCCUGGCUCCUGGGCAGAAUUACUUUUCUCCUAGGGACUAUUUGCUACUUGUGUGGCUAUGAUGGAGACAGUCCCAAGUGCAACCCUGUUUCAAGAUUUGUGGAAAUUCAAAUACUUUCCACCCCAUCCUGCCCUGAGUCAAAGAGAAACUACCAUCACCACUCACCCCAAAACCGGGGGUUGGGACAGCACGGCCUCUUCAAUAACUGGUGCUGGGCCAGCUGGACAUGCAUCUGGAAAAAACGCCAACUCCAACCUAACACCAUACACAAAGGUAUGAGCUGUAUUUCCAAACCACUCACUUAUGAUCUGCCACAGGAGAUUUAGUGUUCUGGAAAAGACUCCUGAGAUAAACGGCCCUUGAACUUCGAUGAAAAGACCCUUAGAAGAUAUUUCCAGCCGGAGGCUCCACAUAACCCAGGUCUCAGAGCUCCCGGCAAGCCCUCACAGGGCUGUCCAAGAAGACUUCUGUGCUCCAGCCGCAGCUGAGGCCAGUGGAAGCUUCCAUCCUGUCAACGAUGGCCCCUUAGGGACAAGGGGGCAGGGAAGAGCAGGAGGAAUGUGUCCUCGUGAUCACCAUCUGCUGAGGGGAGCCCACUGGAGUUUUAGAUCCUCCCUCCCAAGCCAGAAGUUUCUUCUUGGAAGGGAAGGUGGAGGACAGCUGAAGCUGGGGAAAGACUGUUAAUGCCAUCAGGUGGUUGGGAGAGAAGCCCACAUUCAGUUCGUGGAUGCUGUCCUCUUCGUCACCAUUAACCCCACCGAGCAGAGCGGUCACAGCCUCCCUGGGCUCUCCAUGCCUUCCAUGCCAGUGCUCUGAGACAUUCCAGAUCUUCAGUCAAGCUCUUCUCCUCCUCCAUUCUCAGAGCCUGAAGAAGAAUUUCUGCCUGCAGAAAGUCAACUGCUUUUUCCAGCGCAGGGCAGAACCGACCUUGGAGUCCUGGAGAGUUCCAGGGGUCCUGGCCUGAAGAAGAUCUCUGCCUAGAUGAAGUCCAGCUGCUUCCUCCGAAAGACCCGUGUUUCUAUAUGUGGCCUUGUGGGGCAACAAGUAGGG
ensembl:lncRNA